UAGAAUUAAACAGAACUAUUAAUAUAAACAUGAAUCAGGGAGUUUGGGUCUAAAUAAAAGAAUCAAGUGGAAACCGAUACAGUGGAAUAUGCACCAUCAGAAGAGUUCAGAAAGCUGUUAUCUCUGUUUCUGAGUGUGGUAGAUUGUUGAUUAUCUUCUGAUAAUAUUAAGGCUAGCUUAUCUUUACCGCCCUUGUAUCUAACCUAAAGUUGGAAAUAAAGAAGCCUAGAGUAACAAUUCUACCGUAACAAUCCUUCUCCACGGAGGGCCAAGGGCAGGGGGCAACUCCAUGAAAGAUAUGAAACACAAGGUUGCAAACCAGAACAGCUUGCUACUUAAAACCCACCGGCAGCCUGGGAUAGACAUCAAGCUGAAGAAAUAGAAACUCGGAGAAUGUACCUGAAUUGUCCAAAGCCACCGAGCAAAUAACAGGAAGUCGCGAUUCACGCAAGGGUGUGCCUGACCUUAAGGUAUGCAUUCUUCCAGUCCAAUCCACAGCUCUUUUUUGCAGACAUGUGAGAAACAACGGAGGCGUCCGCUCUACAGUGGUGAACAUCUUGGGUUUCUAGAAAGUGUAAGGAAGCUGUCCAAGCCCCCGUGGUACUAUUUUCCCAUCCCUGCCUGUCUCCCACUGCUGUGCUCCAGAAUUCCAUAUUCCAUUGAUUCCAUCCUGGAGGGCUGCAGAACCGCCCCCCCCCCCUCCCCCGCAUCCAGGCGUCAAGUACAGGUCUCUUACAGAAUGAGUGAUGUCGUUGCUACCGAGGGGACUGCUGGGGGCAUUUCAACAAAUGAAAUUCAAAGUGCGCAGGUGGGACGAGCAGACGCACCCGAUUUAGCUCAACGUCUACACAGCAAGCUGCGUGAUUUCCUUAAAAAGAAUCUGCAAUCCCUGGGUGUAGCUCAGAUAAUGAUUGGCCUGAAAUGUUUCUUAUUUGGGAUCAUUGAGAUUUUUCUUUACUGGCACUCUGACUUAAGGAAUCUUUUAUUCUGCUUUUAUAUUGGUUACCCGUUCUGGGCUGCAGCAUCUUUCAUCAUGUCUGGAUCUUUGACCAUCUCGUGUACAAGAAAACAAACAAAAUUUCUGAUCGAAGUCAGUAUUGGAGCUAACAUUAUCAGCACACUACUUUCAAGCACUGGGAUAAUUCUUCUCUCCGUGAAUUUAGUUGACAUAGUCUUACUUGAAUGCUGGGAGUUACCGGCGUGUUCGUUGGUUAAAUCUUUUAUAACUAUUUUCUCUGAUGAACAUGGGCUGUUCUAAAAAAAAAUGAUAAAAAGACUGCUCACAGAUCAGUGUGCCCAGAGAGGAGGGACCUGAUCUGGAACAUUGAGGACUGGCCUAUGGAUUUCUGAAUAUUGUGAUCCUUCAAAUGAUACUGACUUGUGUGCAGAUUUUCAUUUCGUUCUCACUCUGUGGGCUCACUUAUACCGUGGAUGGCAAGGAGAUCAGCUGGGCUUCUGCACUAAGUUGCUUGAUCAGAUCACAUUCUGAAGAUCCUUAUCAAGACUUACUGACUCAACCUGAAACUUACGAAGAUUUAGUGCUUCAAGACAUAGACCAGGUUCACUCUCAUCCAUGAGACACCAUUGAAACAUUUUUUACCACACCAGGGCAUCUUGGAUCCAUGAUGGCAACCAAAGACAGAUCUAAUAGGAACCUUCUACAAAUCCCCUGCUCCCCGUGUCUUUUAUUAUGCACUUUCACAUACACAGACACAAUUAGCACGGAUAUGUGCUUAAUUUCACAGGUGACCAGCAAAUAAUAAUAUUAGCAUUGCAUGGCCUAAUAGACCUCUUUUCAUUGGGAUGGUAUUACCAUUUUUGAGCCAAUUUCAGUUCUUAGGCCUCAGAGAGGAAUUUGUUGUUACCCACUUACUCCUUCCUAGAAACUGUACUUCCCUCUGGGUUGACAGUUUAUUCAAAUGAAAAAUCUUUGUGCAAAUAGUUUGGGUGAGUAGUGGCAUGCCAUCUGACACUGGGUCCAAUCUAAGUUUCUUUGACUGUUGAAUGUACUAGGUCUCCCUUGCUUGUGUCAAGGUGAACUUGACAAAAUGUAAUGCGAUACAAAAUGCACACUCUAAUGUAUGACACAUAGUAAAAAUCUAAUGCAACCUCA